GGGUGAUGUCUGAUGUCACGAUGACAGGGGCUUGUGGGUAGAGGGAGAGAGGGGGGGGGGGUGAGAGAGUGGUCCUGUGACAUCAUUCUACCUCUUAUAUACUGAGGGAAUGAAGCCCACUGCUCUUCACUUUUACAUUCACUAAAGCCAAGGGGACACAGGCAGACACUGUCACUGACAGGACGAAGAGAAGACAAGGACAAAACAGACUGAGUACAUUCCUACUCCACCUCCCACUUCUCUGUUUCUCUCUCGCUUUCUGCAUUUGACCCCUUAACCCUAUGGACUUGGGUCCUGCUUAGCUAGGGUGGAUUCAGAGUGUGGGAUUUGUACAAAGAUGCAGGCACAGCUGGCUUGUGUGCUUCUCCUCUGUUUGCCGUGUGGCGUGUUAUGUUCAGAUGUUGACCAGGAACAGCGGGCAAUAGAGGAGGAGCUGUUGAACAGUCUCUUCACUUCAAAGGUACUGCGCUGCUUCCUCUGUGCACCUGUCAGAUCUGAGGUGUGUGUGUGUGUGUGUGUGUGUGUGUGUGUGUGUGUGUGUGUGUGUGUGUGUGCGUCCGUGCACACAGUUAGUGCCCCUGUAGUGCAGGUGCUCUUUUAUGGAGCCUGGAUAUGUCCGCUUUCUCUCUUGUUCGUUUUUGUUUCAAUUGAAUUGGCUCAUCAUGGAUUCUAUUUGUUCAUAGUUUCACAGGUUUCUGGGUUAGUGUUAAGAUAUACAGUCUUUGAGAUUAACAUAAUGUUCCAUCUAGAACAAUCAAUAAAGCUUUCAAAAUCACAUCAUCACUUUUCAACUCACACAUGCAUACACACACGCAUAGGAAUGAUAAAGGGUUGAAAAUGAAAUUAUUUAGGUAUAACAUAAUUGCUUUUUAUUUUUAUUUUUAUAUAUGACCAUUUAUCGUGCCAGAUACUCCGUAGACAGGCAAGAGGAAAUGAAGAAGAUAGAACUGGAUCUAGUGGAGCCUGGAGACUGAUUACCUGAGCUAAUACCAUUCAGAUGGUCCUGACAGCAACAUAGCGCCUGCGCGGCCGAAACACACACAUGCACACAGACACGCACAUUCUUGUGCACACACGUUUGCACAUGAGCACACACACAUGCGUGACACGCACACAAACGCAUACUCUCUCUCAAUCCCUACUCCCUCCUCCCCACUCUGUCUGAUAAAUGAAUGGAGAUGAGAGGGACACACUGAGACAUGACUAUGACAAAUAAGCUCUGUUAUUUAUCGCUUACAAUGUUCCAAGGGUUCCUUGGGGGGCUGAUUGUAAUCGUAAGUCACCAGAUGACUGAUAGAGUGCUCUAGAUUAGAAGACACCGGAGAGGCAGUGUUGUAGUAGACACUUGUGGCUUUGUCUUUUCCCCUUUUCUUUUACACACAGAUUAUAAACAUACAUGGUUAGGUGGGGGAUCCGUUUCCUAAUGUUGGAAUCGGUUGACUGUUGUUUCAAUGACACUUGUUUGCAGGCUGUGAAACAACAGUUUUGUUACUUCAUGAAGCAUCUGUCAGGUCAAUGAAUAACUGCUGCAUGUAUAUGCAUAUGCUGACACAGAUAACUAAGGUCAGGGCGUGACAGUGUUUUAUGUAUUAUUUUGGUCAGGUCAGGGUGUGACGAGAGUGGUUAUGUGUGUUUUUGUCCUGUCUAGGGUUUUUGUAUGUCUAGGUAAUGUAGGUCUAUGGUGGCCUGAAUUGUUUCCCAAUCAGAGGCAGCUGUUUAUCGUUGUCUCCGAUUGGGGAUCCUAUUUAGGUUGCCAUUUUGGUUUUGUGAGUUAUUGUGUAUGUGUAGUUGCCUGUCAGCACUUGUUAUUGUAGCUUCACGUUUGUUUUGUUAUUUUGUCAGUUUGUUAAGUGUUCUUCGUUUAAUUAAAAGAAGAAGAAUGCAUUCUUAUCACGCGGCGCCUUGGUCUCCUCGUUCUGACAAACGUGACAGAAUAACCCACCAAACCAGGACCAAGCAGCGUGAAAAGGAGGAACAGCACAUAAUGGGGAAAUGGACCUGGCUCCCCCGUCCUAAGGAGGAGAUAGAGGCAGCGAAAGCGGAACGGCAAUACUACGAGGAGAAAUACCGGAGAAUAGAGGAACGGUGAUGAUAUUAAGGUACAAGGCUAGCACGAAAGCCCGAGAGGCAGCCCCAAUAAUUGUUUAGGGGAGGCACACAUGGAGAUUGAAUCAGUCAGGUCGGAGACCUGAGCCAACUCCUUGUGCUUACUGUGGGGAGCGUGUUACUGGUCAGGCACCGUGUUAUGCGAUAGAGCGCACCGUGUCUCCAGUGCGCUAUUCUAGCCCGGUGCGCUCUAUUCCAGCUCCUCACAUUGGCCGGGCUAGAAUGGGCAUCCAGCCAGGAAGGAGGGUGCCGGCUCAGCGCGAAAAUAAACAUCCACCCAGGACAGGUUGUGUCAGCUCUACACUCCAGACCUCCAGUGCGCCUCCACAGUCCAGUACAUCCUGUUCCUCCACCCCGCACUCGCCCUGAGGUACGUGUCACCAGCCCAGUGCUGGCACCACGCACCAGGCCUACAGUGUGCCUCGGCAGUCCAGUACGCCCUGUUCCUGCUCCUCGCACUCGCACUGAGGUGUGUCCCCAGCCCGGUACCACAAGUGCCGGCACCACGCACCAGGCCUACAGUGUGCCUCAGCAGUCCAGAGCGUCCGGCGACAGUACCCAGUCCAGAGCUUCCGGCGACAGUACCCAAUCCAGAGCCUCCAGCGACGGUCCCCAGUCCAGAACAUCCGGCGAUGGUCCACACAGCGAGGGUCCCCAGCCCGGGGCCUACGGUGAGGAUUCUCAGUCCAGAGCCUCCAGCGAUGAUCCACGGGUCAGUGCUACAAGAGCGGGCUCAAUGUAAGGAAGGGGAGCAGCGUCCAGAACCAGAGCCGCCACCGAGGGUAGAUGCCCACCCGGACCCUCCCCUAUAAGUUCAGGUUUGCGGUCGGGAGUCCGCACCUUUGGGGGGGGGGGGGGGUACUGUCACGCCCUGUAAUUAGUUAGUUAUGUUUUAUGUAUUAUUUUGGUCAGGUCAGGGUGUGACAAGGGUGGUUGUGUGUUUUUAUCCUGUCUAUGGGGUUUUUGUAUGUCUAGGUAAUGUAGGUCUAUGGUGGCCUGAAUUUGUUCCCAAUCAGAGGCAGCUGUUUAUCGUUGUCACUGAUUGGAGAUCCUAUUUAGGUUGCCAUUUUCCAUUUUGGUUUUGUGGGUUUUUGUCUGUGUAGUUGCAGCUUCACGUUCGCUAAGUGUUCUUUGUUUAAUUAAAAGAAGAAUGUAUUAUCACGCUGCGCCUUGGUCUCCUCGUUCUGACGAACGUGACAGACACUUGAUUUUCUUAAUGGACAAUAAUGUAAUUAGAACAUAGAAUGAUGACUAAAUCAAUUGGUUAGGUGAGAUCAAUUCCAUUUUUCCAAAUUCUGGAUAUACCAGUAGUCACUGUCUUAAAAAUGUCUGAUGUAGAAAUCUAGCCAGUAACUAAUCUCGCCACCCAGAGCUGUCAUGAGAAACACAGAAGUGGGGACAGGGGCUACUUGAAACGGCAGUUAAUCCCUGUACUCUGGUUGCUGGCAUUAUUGGACUGCUCCAUUAAAACUAUUUUCCAUCCCUCAAUAAUUAACUGACAAUGAGAGGGAACACACUGGGGAAAGAAGGGGCUACAUCGAAAUGUAAUGUGAAGUGACCUUUCUGCACAAUUAAAAGGGUACCUACCUCUCGUCUCAACACUCAGUGUCUUAACAAACUGUUCAUUUGGAAGUUAACAAGAGCUAAUUUGUAUUUGAGGUUGGUAGGGUUUUCUAAAUGUCAAUAUCGUAAGGAACUCACAGGAGUAUCCAACAGACUAAGACGUCCUUUCUGUGGUUUAUCCUCAGUCUGCUCAGUACAAAAUAAUCCACUCUGACAUUUCUCCCCCAUGGCCUCCAAAUCCAUAUGUAAUAUCUAACAACUCAACAAUGGAGAUGCAGAAAAUAAAAGUGUUGUCCUUUGCCAUCCAUAAAGGAAAGAUAAUGGGAUUUAAAAUGAUUUAGAAGCACCAAUCUUCUGUUCCUUACGACUCAGUGACACCCGGGAGGGAGUCUGGGCUGUGCUGUGUUAACGAGUCGGCCCACGCACAGAGGCCCCAACGGGCACCGAUAGGAGCCUCACACCAUCCAAAACCACACACUCAAAAUAGAUUAUGAUACAGCAGGAUUGAAGCUAGUUAGAUCUGACUGAUCCAUGAGAGAGUGCAAAGGCAAAGCACACCUAUGCACACACGCAAGUGUUUAUGUAUAUUGUAGUCCUAGUAUUUAUUUAUAUGCUCCUCCUAGAUGAAACAGAGCAAGCAGGGCGCCCCCUACUGGCGUGUGUCCCUGGUGAAUGUGUGCAGGAUGGUGAACAGCCUGAUGAAUAGCCUGUCGUGGAGAGAACAGGAGGAGUAUAACACUGAGGAGGAGCUGUGGGAGAGACUGGCCUCCCUUCCUGAGCCCCUGGACAAGCUUCUAGACCUACUGCAGAUCUGCAGAGUGCUGCAGCCCCGAGAGGUGAGGGACACCCAUACCUACAAAAACAGAUGCUCAUGCACGGAGAGCAAUUCUCACAUUUGAAUAGAACAUCUGUCAUGCAGUCAUAUACAUUUCAAGUGAGUCACACAAACACACACACAGUAAACACGCACAGGGAUAAGCACUCUAGGGCCUAGAGUCAAUCAGAUCAAGCGUUAACCGGCGAUAGCAGACACCUGCAUUGCAGAUGUUUUGGCGGAGUUGGAACUGCGUUGGCACCGUCAAAUUGGUGAGCAGCUGCUCUUGCUAUCAUUUUCAUGAAGUCACAACCACCCCACUCAUGUUAAAGUUCAGAAUGAGAAAGUGGAGGCUAGAUAGAGAUAAUGACGCUGAAAUCAAAAAAUCAUUCAACGAAAUAAUGAGGAUUUCUAUCUUCCGAAUCGAGGUGUAGAUUACAUCUCACAUUCCAGUGUUCGAACUUGUAAACAAGGCUGCAUGGGAUUUCUGUUAAUGCGACUCAGUGCAGCCAAUGGCAAUGUUCGCUUUAGCUAUAAUGCCGGUAGCCACUUGUGGAUUUGAAAACUCUAACGCAGUUCCACCUCCUACACCCCCAAAACAACCGCUAUGAGGAUGUUGGCUGAAGAAAAUCUGAUUGUAUCAAGCCCUUAGUCUACAGCAGGGAUGGGCACCUCCUCAGAGGCGGAGUGGUGUCCG
ensembl:lncRNA